GGGCGGUUAGCUCAGCUGGUAGAGCACCUCGUUUACACCGAGGGGGUCGGCGGUUCGAGCCCGUCACCGCCCA
rnacentral:tRNA from 1 species